rnacentral:tRNA from 3 species
GCGGGAGUAGCAUAGUGGUAAUGCUCCAGCCUUCCAAGCUGAGGAUGCGGGUUCGAUUCCCGUCUCCCGCUCCA